rnacentral:rRNA from 1 species
UACGUAGGGUGCGAGCGUUAAUCGGAAUUACUGGGCGUAAAGCGUGCGCAGGCGGUUUUGUAAGUCAGAUGUGAAAUCCCCGGGCUCAACCUGGGAAUGGCAUUUGGGACUGCAAGGCUCGAGUGCGGCAGAGGAGACUGGAAUUCCUGGUGUAGCAGUGAAAUGCGUAGAUAUCAGGAGGAAUACCGAUGGCGAAGGCAGGUCUCUGGGCUGACACUGACGCUCAUGCACGAAAGCGUGGGGAGCAAACAGG